GACAAUGGAAUGCAUUACAGAUAUCCGUUUAUUGGUUUAGUUGUUGUGCAUCUUAUUGUUGGUGGAGUAAGCCUUUUACUGCAUAGAGUGUUUGAUACGAGACAAAAAGAGUCAAAUGAAGACCUUUCUAUAGACCUGGAUAACAUAACACAGGACAAAGGAACAGAACUAAAACCUUACAUCGACAUUAAUGAAGGGAUAGAAAAAGAUGACAAAGUUAAAGAACACGUCUCAUUGAAAGAUAGUUUAUGCUCUCUGAAAACCUUGUCCCACCUAAUUUUGAUGUCGAUUUUGAUGUUGAAUUUUCUUUAUUACAUUGGAACAAUAAACUCAAGACUGCAGAAUGUUGUUCCUGAUCAAGUGAGUUAUUACAUCAACGUAUGGUCCUAUAUAAAUGCUGGAGGUAUAGUGACAGCUCUCAUACCAGGCUUUCUUGUAGAAUGGCAAAUUAAGUUA